rnacentral:tRNA from 1 species
GCCCCUGUAGCUCAGCGGAUAGAGCACUGGCCUCCGAAGCCAGUUGCGGCGGUUCGAGUCCGCCCAGGGGUA